GUGUAUGCACUUAUCAUUAUUGAUAGCCAGUCUGAGCCAGAAGACAAAAUGGAGCAAAGCACAGAAUACCUGACUGCGGCGGACUUUGUUGCAGAACUCUCUGCAAAAAUAACAAAUACAUCUUGCAGCAGGUUCAAUAUGAAUAGAGCCAAUGUGUGGGAUGGAGCAAUCCGCGGCUUCAAAGGUGCCUCAUUCGAUCCCUCAUGAGACGUCAGUUAAGUUCACUGAUGAUGAGGGACAAACUGAGGAUGGAGGGGACACUGGUGGUCCCAAGCGUGAGUUCCUGACCCUCCUUAUGGAACGCCUGAGAAUGAAGAAAAACAUCACGUCGGCAACUGUUUGUGCCCCAUGGCGGUGUGACUUUCCCAGCCGCUCACUGUCUCAAAAUCUGAUUCUAAAUGUAUAAUGUUCUCUAUAAAGAUACAACUAAUACACAAUUAUGAAUGUAUAAUAUAAGCUGUUUUGUGUAUUUAA